rnacentral:misc_RNA from 1 species
CCUUAUUUCUCUCUCUAGAAAUUUCUCUUUCUAGAAAGGUCUUUCAGCUCCUUUUUGCAACAAUGGUGGCCUCUUCUCUGCUCACUUCAGCCUUUAUACUAUCUUCAACCUGAGCUUCAUCUCUCUCUAUUUCUUCUUCUCUGUCGUUUUUGGCUCUGUAAAGAGAAGUGAACGCGAAAUGCCGCCAUUGGAGUUGGAUUUAGAUCUAACUUUUCACUAAUUUUAUCUGUGGAAGGGAGCUUGUGGAUGAUAAAUUAGUAUUAUUAGGCGUUUUCUUGUGGUUUGAGGCGUGAGCAGGAAGUUAAGCUGGGUUUUAGGUUUUGUUUGUUUUUAUUGUUCGAUCUGUGAUUUGUUGUGACUGUUUUAUUUUUGUCUGAACUGGAGAGAGAGCGAGGGGUUCAGAUUUGUGGAAAUGAAUCGUAGUUUUAGGGCUCAGGACACGCAAAUGCAAAUGGCAGCGGCGGCGGUGAAGCAACGACAACAGUUGAGAGCGUCAAUGAUGAAGGAGAAGGAAGAGGAGCUCGCGUUGUUUCUGGAAAUGAAGAAGCGCGAGAAGGAGCAGAAUAAUCUCCUCCUGAAUAAUAAUGAAGAGUUUGAUGCACCUUUAGGGUCGAAACCGGGUACUUCUCCUAUAUUUAAUAUUUCAUCUACCACCAUACCUGGGAGGAAAGCCGGUGGCGCUGAUGAUUUUCUCGAUUCUGAAAGUGAUAAAAAUGACUACGACUGGCUUCUAACACCUCCUGAUACCCCUUUGUUUCCUUCUUUGGAGAUGGAAUCACAAAAGACUGUGAUGAGUCAGAGUGGUACUCCAAAGGCCCGCCCCACUGCCCUUAAAUCUAGACUAGCAAACCCUCAGCCAGAUCCUGCUGCAAGGGGCAACUUAGUAUCUAAACAAUCAGCUUCCUCCCCUGGGUUGAACUCCUCUGGUGCAGGGAUGCGCAGGCCUUCAUCAUCAGGUGGUCCAGGAUCACGACCUGCAACA